UGACGACCAUAUCAUGUUUAAACACCAGUUCCCGUACGAUCACCGAAGGUAAGCAACGUCGAACCUGGUCAGUACCUAGAUGGGUGCCCACUUAGGAAUAACAGGGGCUGUU